GUAGCGGCGAGCGAACGGGGAGGAGCCCAGAGCCUGAAUCAGCAUGUGUGUUAGUGGAAGCGUCUGGAAAGGCGCGCGAUACAGGGUGACAGCCCCGUACACAAAAGCGCAUGUGCUGUGAGCUCGAUGAGUAGGGCGGGACACGUGGUAUCCUGUCUGAAUAUGGGGGGACCAUCCUCCAAGGCUAAAUACUCCUGACUGACCGAUAGUGAACCAGUACCGUGAGGGAAAGGCGAAAAGAACCCCGGCGAGGGGAGUGAAAAAGAACCUGAAACCGUGUACGUACAAGCAGUGGGAGCCCCACCACCAAAGCAUUUGCUGUACCGCGUUGACGGAGCGAAGCGACGUCAAACCGAUAAAACAGCAGUGUAAAGUGAGCCGCAGGGCGCUUUGCGCGACAGCGCAAAGGCAGGCGGUUUCGCGUAGCGAAAGCGAAUGCUUUGGGGUGGGGUGACUGCGUACCUUUUGUAUAAUGGGUCAGCGACUUAUAUUCUGUAGCAAGGUUAACCGAAUAGGGGAGCCGGAGGGAAACCGAGUCUUAAUUGGGCGUUAAGUUGCAGGGUAUAGACCCGAAACCCGGUGAUCUAGCCAUGGGCAGGUUGAAGGUUGGGUAACACUAACUGGAGGACCGAACCGACUAAUGUUGAAAAAUUAGCGGAUGACCUGUGGCUGGGGGUGAAAGGCCAAUCAAACCGGGAGAUAGCUGGUUCUCCCCGAAAGCUAUUUAGGUAGCGCCUCGUGAAUUCAUC
rnacentral:rRNA from 1 species